UACGUAGGGUGCAAGCGUUGUCCGGAAUUAUUGGGCGUAAAGAGCUCGUAGGCGGUCUGUUGCGUCGGCUGUGAAAACCCGGGGCUCAACCCCGGGCCUGCAGCCGAUACGGGCAGACUAGAGUUCGGCAGGGGAGACUGGAAUUCCUGGUGUAGCGGUGCAAUGCGCAGAUAUCAGGAGGAACACCGGUGGCGAAGGCGGGUCUCUGGGCCGAUACUGACGCUGAGACGCGAAAGCGUGGGGAGCGAACAGG
rnacentral:rRNA from 1 species